AUGCUGGAGAAAGACGGCAAGGCCCAAAUAACUGCAUUCGAUGAGGUAGACCAUGUCUUUUCCGGGACAAAAAAAUAUAGGGGCUACAGAAAAUUCAUUGAGAAGCCGAAGCUGAAAUCAUUGUCGCAGGCCAACAAUGGCUACUUGAUUAUACGCUGUGUCCUCACAGUGGUAAAAGAAUCUCGCACGGAAGUUAAGAGGAACACUGCAGUCGUUCCGCAAUCGAAUCUGCAAGACCAGCUCUGCCAAAUGUGGAAGGAUGGCCAGGGAGCGGAUGUGACAUUCAGUGUGGGUGGCCAAUUCUUCGAAGCUCACAGAUGCUUAUUGGCUGCAUGGUUUCUGGUUUUCAAGGCGGAGCUCUUUGGUCCCAUGAAGGAGAAGGAAACACAGUGCAUCAAAAUCGACGACAUCGACCCUGAAAUCUUUGAGGCUCUUCUUCACUUCAUAUACACAGAUUCCAUGCUAGUCGAUGAGCACUACAAAGAAAGCAAACCUGCAAAACUGCAUCAUCUGCAAGUUGCCUCGGAUCGAUAUGGAUUGGAUAGGCUAAAGGUGAUGUGUGAAAGUAAAUUGUCUGAGUGCAUUGACGUAGAGACUGUUGCAACAACAUUAGUUUUAGCAGAGCAACACCAUUGCAAGGAUCUCAAAGAAGCUUGCAUUGAGUUUAUGGCUCCACGUAAUGUUCUGCAAGCUGCCAUGGCAACUGAUGGUUUCAAGCAUUUGGUAGCAAGCUGUCCUUUGGUCAUGAAGGAGUUAUUAGACAUGGUGUCCCGUAGUGGCUAG
rnacentral:rRNA from 1 species